rnacentral:rRNA from 1 species
CAAGUCGAACGCGAAAACCCCGCAAGGGGUUAGUAGAGUGGCAAACGGGUGAGUAACGCGUGGGUGACCUGCCUUCGAGCGGGGGAUAACGUUCCGAAAGGGACGCUAAUACCGCAUAACAUCCUGCCUUUGAACAGGUGGAGAUCAAAGCUGGGGAUCGCAAGACCCGGCACUUGAAGAGGGGCCCGCGUCUGAUUAGCUAGUUGGUGAGGUAACGGCUCACCAAGGCGACGAUCAGUAUCCGGCCUGAGAGGGCGGACGGACACACUGGGACUGAGACACGGCCCAGACUCCUACGGGAGGCAGCAGUGGGGAAUUGUUCGCAAUGGGCGCAAGCCUGACGACGCAACGCCGCGUGGAGGAUGAAGAUUUUCGGAUCGUAAACUCCUGUCGAAUGGGACGAAUAGAUCACGGCUUAAUACUCCGUGAUCCUGACGGUACCGUUAAAGGAAACCCCGGCUAACUCCGUGCCAGCAGCCGCGGUAAUACGGGGGGGGUAAGCGUUGUUCGGAAUUACUGGGCGUAAAGGGCUCGUAGGCGGCCAACUAAGUCAGACGUGAAAUCCCUCAGCUUAACUGGGGAACUGCGUCUGAUACUGGAUGGCUUGGAUUCGGGAGAGGAAUGCGGAAUUCCAGGUGUAGCGGUGAAAUGCGUAGAUAUCUGGAGGAACACCGGUGGCGAAGGCGGCAUUCUGGACCGAUAUUGACGCUGAGGAGCGAAAGCCAGGGGAGCAAACGGGAUUAGAUACCCCGGUAGUCCUGGCCCUAAACGAUGAAUGCUUGGUGUGGCGGGUAUCGAUCCCUGCCGUGCC